rnacentral:rRNA from 1 species
ACUCCUAGCGGGAGGCAGCAAGUGAUGGAAUACUUGGUCAAUGGGCGCAAGCCUGAACCAGCCAUGCCGCGUGCAGGGAUGACGGUCCUAUGGAUUGUAAACUGCUUUUGUACGGGAAGAAACACUCCUUCGUGAAGGAGCUUCGACGGUACCGUAAGAAUAAGGAUCGGCUAACUCCGUGCCAGCAGCCGCGGUAAUACGGAGGAUCCAAGCGUUAUCCGGAAUCAUUGGGUUUAAAGGGUCCGUAGGCGGUUUUAUAAGUCAGUGGUGAAAUCCGGCAGCUCAACUGUCGAACUGCCAUUGAUACUGUAGAACUUGAAUUAUUGUG